rnacentral:rRNA from 1 species
UACGAAGGGGGCUAGCGUUGUUCGGAAUUACUGGGCGUAAAGCGUGCGCAGGCGGCUUCUCAAGUCAGGGGUGAAAGCCCAGAGCUCAACUCUGGAAUUGCCUUUGAGACUGAGUGGCUUGAGUACGAGAGAGGUGAGUGGAAUUCCCAGUGUAGAGGUGAAAUUCGUAGAUAUUGGGAAGAACACCGGUGGCGAAGGCGGCUGACUGGCUCGUAACUGACGUUCAUGCACGACAGCGUGGGGAUCAAACAGG